ACUGUCGGGCUGGAGUGCAGGAGAGGUUAAUGAAUUCCUAGUGUAGCGGUGGAAUGCGUAGAUAUUAGGAGGAACACCAGAGGCGAAGGCGAUAAACUGGACUGUAACUGACGCUGAGGCACGAAAGUGUGGGGAGCAAACAGGAUUAGAUACCCUGGUAGUCCACACUGUAAACGAUGGAUACUAGAUGUAGGAGGUAUCGACCCCUUCUGCAUCGCAGUAAACACGAUAAGUAUCCCGCCUGGGGAGUACGGCCGCAAGGUUGAAACUCAAAGGAAUUGACGGGGACCCGCACAAGCAGCGGAGCAUGUGGUUUAAUUCGAAGCAACGCGAAGAACCUUACCAAGACUUGACAUCGUAUGACCGCCAUAGAGAUAUGGAAUUCCCUUCGGGGACAUAUAGACAGGUGGUGCAUGGUUGUCGUCAGCUCGUGUCGUGAGAUGUUGGGUUAAGUCCCGCAACGAGCGCAACCCUUAUCAUUAGUUGCUACUAUUAAGUUAAGCACUCUGAUGAGACUGCCGAGGUCAACUCGGAGGAAGGUGGGGAUGACGUCAAAUCAUCAUGCCCCUUACGUCUUGGGCUACACACGUGCUACAAUGGCUAUUACAAAGAGCUGCGAAAUCGUAAGGUGGAGCGAAUCUCAAAAAGAUAGUCUCAGUUCGGACUGUGGGCUGCAACCCGCCCACACGAAGUCGGAGUUGCUAGUAAUCCCGGAUCAGCAUGCCGGGGUGAAUGCGUUCUCGGGUCUUGUACACACCGCCCGUCAAGCCAUGGGAGUCGGGAGUACCCAAAGUCGGUGAGCUAACCGCAAGGAGGCAGCCGCCUAAGGUAAGACCGAUGACUGGGGUUAAGUCGUAACAAAGGUAGCCGUAAAGCC
rnacentral:rRNA from 1 species